AGACCCGAAACCCGGUGAUCUAGCCAUGGGCAGGUUGAAGGUUGGGUAACACUAACUGGAGGACCGAACCGACUAAUGUUGAAAAAUUAGCGGAUGACCUGUGGCUGGGGGUGAAAGGCCAAUCAAACCGGGAGAUAGCUGGUUCUCCCCGAAAGCUAUUUAGGUAGCGCCUCGUGAAUUCAUCUCCGGGGGUAGAGCACUGUUUCGGCUAGGGGGCCAUCCCGGCUUACCAACCCGAUGCAAACUGCGAAUACCGGAGAAUGUUAUCACGGGAGACACACGGCGGGUGCUAACGUCCGUCGUGAAGAGGGAAACAACCCAGACCGCCAGCUAAGGUCCCAAAGUCAUGGUUAAGUGGGAAACGAUGUGGGAAGGCCCAGACAGCCAGGAUGUUGGCUUAGAAGCAGCCAUCAUUUAAAGAAAGCGUAAUAGCUCACUGGUCGAGUCGGCCUGCGCGGAAGAUGUAACGGGGCUAAACCAUGCACCGAAGCUGCGGCAGCGACACUAUGUGUUGUUGGGUAGGGGAGCGUUCUGUAAGCCUGUGAAGGUGGCCUGUGAGGG
rnacentral:rRNA from 4 species